rnacentral:lncRNA from 1 species
UACUGGGCGCUGGCUUCGCCAUCUGUACCCAGUCCCCCAAGGGAGUAGGUACGGGCGUGGCGGGUGGUUGUGGCGGGUGGCAUCAGCAGAGGGGCACCAGCCAAAGGGUGUGGCUACCGCACUGCUGGUCCCCAGGCCCGGGAGGUGGGGAGCACACACAGUGCCUUGGGUACCCAGUUGGGUGUUCUCCCGCUGCAGAGGAGACGGCAGCCUGGGUCCUGCCCUUCACCUCUGGCGGCUUUCUCUACAUCGCCUUGGUGAACGUGCUCCCUGACCUCUUGGAAGAAGAGGACCCGUGGCGCUCCCUGCAGCAGCUGCUUCUGCUCUGUGCGGGCAUCGUGGUAAUGGUGCUGUUCUCGCUCUUCGUGGAUUAACUUUCCCUGAUGCCGACGCCCCUGCCCCCUGCAGCAAUAAGAUGCUCGGAUUCACUCUGUGACCGCAUAUG